rnacentral:rRNA from 1 species
GACGAACGCUGGCGGCGUGCUUAACACAUGCAAGUCGAACGGUAAGGCCCUUCGGGGUACACGAGUGGCGAACGGGUGAGUAACACGUGGGUGAUCUGCCCUGCACUUCGGGAUAAGCCUGGGAAACUGGGUCUAAUACCGGAUAGGACCACUGCCUGCAUGGGUGGUGGUGGGAAGCUUUUGCGGUGUGGGAUGGGCCCGCGGCCUAUCAGCUUGUUGGUGGGGUGAUGGCUUACCAAGGCGACGACGGGUAGCCGGCCUGAGAGGGUGACCGGCCACACUGGGACUGAGAUACGGCCCAGACUCCUACGGGAGGCAGCAGUGGGGAAUAUUGCACAAUGGGCGCAAACCUGAUGCAGCGACGCCGCGUGAGGGAUGACGGCCUUCGGGUCGUAAACCUCUUUCAGCACCGACGAAGCGCAAGUGACGGUAGGUGCAGAAGAAGGACCGGCCAACUACGUGCCAGCCGCCGCCGUAA